GGCAACAAAUGCCAAUAUUUAUAUAUAGACCAUAUAGACUAGCACAUAAGUAUUGAAGAGUUGUAACAUCCAGUAAUUUUUGGUUCUUACUCAGUCUUUCGAUUUAAAAUAAUUACAUAGUACGUAGCAAAGAUGAGAGGUAUGUUCAACAGGAUAUUUGGAAAAUAUUUGUUUCUGACAAACACUAUUUCAAGUGGAGUGCUUAUGUCAGCUGGAGAUUUAAUUCAGCAAGAAAUUGAAAAACGCAGAACUCCGAAGAGUAAACCCUUUGACUGGGAGAGAACAGGUCGCAUGUUUAUUGUUGGCCUUGCUCAAGGCCCACCACAGCACAUAUUUUAUAAAUUCUUGGACUGGCAUCUUCCAAGACGAGAUUUUAAAAGUAUAUCCAGGAAGAUCCUUUUAGAUCAGCUAAUAGCAUCUCCAGUCUUCAUUUGUAUAUUCUUCUUUGGAAUGGGUUACCUUGAGAGCCACACUUGGGAUGAAAUUAUUUCAGAAUCAAAGAUGAAAUUUUUCUCCAUUUAUAUGGUUGACUGGUUAGUCUGGCCACCAACUCAGAUUAUAAACUUCUACUUCUUGAGCUCCAAGUAUCGUGUCAUGUAUAUCAACAUUGUGACAAUGCUUUAUGAUGUGUUUCUCUCUUACAUAAAACACAAUGUAUAAUUUGACCUAAUCCUUCCAUGAACCUGUGGUUGACUCAGCCUCUAGCAGAAGUGAGUACCAGAAAUCUUCCUGGGGGUAAAAGGUGGCUGGACACCAGCUGUGUCGAAGACAAGUUUCAAGACAUGAGACAAAAGACACAGUCUCGCUUCAUUCAUGAUUCAGACUCGAGUCUGCACACCAAAGUAGCACAUGUGUGUGUCUUAGCACAUCUUCUCUAGUUGAUAACAUGACGUCCAGUGAGGAAGAUAUUUUAAUGUACAUGUGGCUUAAAUUACGCAGAAGAAAGAAAAGGAAGUGGAUUUGUGACUUUAAUGAGUCGUGUGCUCAACGUGGUGCAUACGUUUUAGCACGUGACUUGUUAAAUGAUCCUGUGAAAUUCCAGUCUUAUUAUCGAAUGUCCCCAGAAUCCUAUAAGGAACUUCUUCAGAGAGUUUCGCCACUAUUGAGGAAGCAGGAUACAAAUUAUAGGAAAGCUAUUAGUGCUGAUGAACGGUUACUUAUAACAUUAAGAUGUUGGUGAUUAUGGUCGAAAUAGUGAUGGUGGUGUCCUGCUAAACUCAGCUUUUGGUAGGAAUCUUCAGCAAGGAACGCUGAAUAUACCUGACCCUAAGAAACUUCCUGCAGAUGAAGAUGGCUGUACUCCAUUUCCAUAUUUUUUCGUGGGUGAUGAAGCAUUUCCAUUGCAGAGACACAUUAUGAGGCCCUAUCCUCGCAGAGAACUCACAAAUGAAAGAAGGAGUUUCAACUAUAGAAUUAGCAGAGCUCGAAAAAGUGUAGAGUGUGCUUUCGGCAUGCUUGCCUCAAAGUUCAGAAUUCUUGAAAAGGCUAUAGCCUGUAAACCAAAUAAAACAGAUGCUAUAAUACGGGCAAUCUGUGUCCUCCAUAAUUUCAUCAGGUUAAAGGACGGCUUAUUUAACAAGCAGAGUCUAGGUGAAGAUGAUGAUGACCAUGACAAAGGCAGUUGUGAAUCUGUAUUCCAAAACUUGCAGCCCUGCUGCAGAAGAGCAACUACUGAGGCUGUUGAAAUGAGGAACCAUUUGUGUUCUUACUUUAUGAAACAAAAUGUAGCUCUUCAUUGGCAGAACAAGUACACUUCAGCAUGUUAGUGAGAGCAGACUUGUAUGAAACAAGCUUAUGCUCAUUGUGUAUAAUAUUUAAUUCAGUCAUUACCUCAUUAAAAUAAAAUUAAUCAGUUCAUUUAA